CUCUCUAUCUAUUUUUCUUUGAAAGAAUGAAUGAAUAAUAAAGAAGGAAAGAGUUUUAGAUAGAUCCGUCACUCUCUAUUCUUCUGCUUAGGGUUUCUUGAUCAUUUCAUGUGAAUCUUGAUUCCUCCCUUCUUUUGGGGCUUCAAUAUCUCUAGAUCCGACAAUUAAUCAUCAUCGGUAAGAGAAAAUCUCAACUGGGUAUUCUCUAUUUCGCCGGAAUCCGUCGCCGGAAUAUUUGCUCUAGUGAUCUUUUCUUUGUUAUUUUUGGUUGUUCUUGGUGGUUGAAGAACUUUGUUCACAUCUCACGUCAUAUCUUUGCAUUUUAGCCUAUAAAAGUGUGCCACGAUAGAGUUGGGUCUUGACUGAAAAGUCAUAUUUUUAUAUUUUUUUUGGUUUGUCUCUCUAUAAAUAGAUUGUUUAUUUUGUGUUGAGCAGGUUGAGGAUAUGCAUGGAUUGAAAGUCGUCGUUUGCAGAUGUAGCAUCAUCAAGAUUCACAUACAAUUAACUUUUGUUGUUUGAGAUUGAGAAUCUUGAUGAUGCUGCAUCAGCCAUAGACAACUAAAAAUAACUACCUUAAUUUCAUGUUUCAUGGAUCUACACUCAUUAGUCCGCCCUAGUCGAACUGAUCAGGAGGUCUAGCUAUGGCGGUCGAUAUAUAUAUAGUAGUUAACCAAGAACAGGGAAAUAACAAGGAUCCAGGUUCAUCAUAAUUGGCUUUCUACACUCUUGAGGAUGAUCCCUUUAUCGGGGUACUAGACUACUAGCUUUGUUGAAGCAACAAUUAGCGAGAUAGUGAAUUUUGGAGGUAAUUAAUUAUAAGGAUGGGUUUUUGAAGUUCAAUCCAUAUAACUUUUCAUUGUUUUUUUUGUAUGUUAAUUUGGUUUGUUUUGCAUUAAAUUUGUGUAAAUUCUAUAAGGUUGUUUGUUCCUCCCUUAAUACAAACAUUGAGUUUGAAAAAGAAAAUAAGGUUGAACUAA